rnacentral:rRNA from 1 species
AUGAACGCUGGCGGCGUGCCUAAUACCUGCAAGUCGAGCGAACGGACGAGAAGCUUGCUUUUCUGAUGUUAGCGGCGGACGGGUGAGUAACACGUGGAUAACCUACCUAUAAGACUGGGGUAACUUCGGGAAACCGGAGCUAAUACCGGAUAAUAUUUUGAACCGCAUGGUUCAUAAGUGAAAGACGGUCUUGCUGUCACUUAUAGAUGGAUCCGCGCUGCAUUAGCUAGUUGGUAAGGUAACGGCUUACCAAGGCAACGAUGCAUAGCCGACCUGAGAGGGUGAUAGGCCACCCUGGAACUGGGACACGGUCCAGACUCCUACGGGAGGCAGCAGUAGGGAAUCUUCCGCAAUGGGCGAAAGCCUGACGGAGCAACGCCGCGUGAGUGAUGAAGGUCUUCGGAUCGUAAAACUCUGUUAUUAGGGAAGAACAUAUGUGUAAGUAAAUGUGCACAUCUUGACGGUAACUAAUCAGAAAGCCACGGCUAACUACGUG